rnacentral:piRNA from 1 species
GACUACAGACUACAUGAAAUUCAGUUUCA